GACGAACGCUGGCGGCGUGCUUAACACAUGCAAGUCGAGCGGUAAGGCCCUUUCGGGGGUACACGAGCGGCGAACGGGUGAGUAACACGUGGGUGACCUGCCUUUAGCUCUGGGAUAAGCCUGGGAAACCGGGUCUAAUACCGGAUACGACUCCGCGGUGCAUGCUGUGGGGUGGAAAGCCUUGUGCGGCUGGAGAUGGGCCCGCGGCCUAUCAGCUUGUUGGUGGGGUGAUGGCCUACCAAGGCGACGACGGGUAGCCGGCCUGAGAGGGCGACCGGCCACACUGGGACUGAGACACGGCCCAGACUCCUACGGGAGGCAGCAGUGGGGAAUCUUGCGCAAUGGGCGAAAGCCUGACGUAGCGACGCCGCGUGAGGGAUGAC
rnacentral:rRNA from 1 species